UUUUGUGGAGUUGUCGAGGUUGAGAAAGAGCUCUGAAGUUCAAGGUGACAUCAGCAAGGAUUCUCUCCUCCUGGCCCUGAUUGAAUCAGCUACAGACAUCAAUCCAGAAUUCACCAUCAGUCAACAGAACGACGCCCAUGAAUUCCUCUGCCACUGUCUGACCCAAAUGGAGGAGUCUGGGCGAUGGCUGGGUUGGCAAGAGGAUGUGGACCCUAGAUGCCCAGUCAGGGCCAAUUUCAAGUUCAAGAUGAGGAACAUUAUAACAUGCUCCAGCUGUGGAUCCCAGCAGAACAACAAAGUGGAAGUGUUUAAUCACAUCUCUCUGCCCCUGGUGCACAACUCAGUGGACGA